UACAGAGGGUGCGAGCGUUGUUCGGAAUUACUGGGCGUAAAGCGCGCGCAGGCGGCUCUUUAAGUCUACCCGUGAAAUGCCGGAGCUCAACUCCGUGCACGCCGGGGGAUACUGGAGGGCUGGAGACAUGUAGAGGCAAGCGGAAUUCCGGGUGUAGCGGUGGAAUGCGUAGAGAUCCGGAAGAACACCGGAGGCGAAGGCGGCUUGCUGGGCAUGGUCUGACGCUGAGGCGCGAAAGCGUGGGGAGCAAACAGG
rnacentral:rRNA from 1 species